CCACCCGCCUCUGCCUCCCAAAGUGCUGGGAUUGCAGGCAUGAACCACCGCGCCCGGCCCUCCAUUUUGUACAAUGAUUAAAGAGGCGCAAAGACGAAGAAGGGAGAAAAAUGCCCGUGGGCAUCUUUUUUUCUUUUUAGUUAUCUUUGUUUUCUAGGCAAAAGAGCAGAGUGAAAGCAUCUGUCUGCUGAUUUCUCCACCAGUCUCUCCCUGUCGACCUGCACAGGGACACAAGUGCAAUCCAAUACUGAGACAAGGACUACUGUGGCUCUCUAGUCGCUUGAGAUGGGAGUGGCAGGGCGCUGGAUGGCCGAACGAAGACUGUCGGGGAAUAAGAGGCCUUCAACAUGCGAGAAGCAGAAACCAAUACGGAUCAACAUUCCCUACGGAUAUUCCAUAAGACUGAUUCAUAUUCAUAUUCCUGUAUUUCCUCAGUCCCUCCAAUAUUGCCUGGGAACUUCUGGUAACAGCAAACGGAGGCCCCAUAUGAAAAAAAACAGGAAAAGGUUUUGUCACAAUGGAAAAUACAUGCAGAGUAAAAGGGUAAGAUAUUUCUGAAGGAAAUCAGAAAAGCCCCAAAUCGAGACUUGAUUCUUAUUACUCAUAAGAGAAGACUGAAGCUUUAACAAUUAAUCUGCUUAGAACUGCAAUGUAAACUGCACGCAGCUAUUACCUGAUUUUUAUUUCCACUACUUUUCUUCCAUCACAAGCCCUAUGCAGAAAAAAAAGUGCCUCAGCAUCACUCAAAGCAAAUGAUACAGCAGGAGAGAGAAGGAGGAAGAGAAGAACCAGCUUUACAAGAUCUCUGGAUCAUGUUUCCAUGCCAACUGUAAAAUUCUUUGCCUUGCCCUAGAUCCAAAAGAUUUUCAUCCAUGUUUUUUUCCCAAAAGUUUUAUACUUUUACAUUUUAUGUUUACAUCCUUGAUCCAUUUUGAGUUCAUUUUUG
rnacentral:lncRNA from 1 species